AUGCUCCAGCCGGCCCACCAUGGAAGUGAACGACUCGAAGGAAAACACAGACGUGAUUUCAUCCAACUGACCGCGACUCGGACUUGGGCUGCGAUCUCCACCUCUGAGCAGGCUUCUGCGACCUCCUCUACUGCUACGUCGUGGUCCGCCUGUCGCGGUCACAACUGCUGUUCGGUGCCGGCCCUGAUGAGCGGCCGAGCCACCACCGAGUCACCUCCGACGAGCCACCCUCGGCCUCAGUCACCUGAGCCGCCAGCUAGCGGGCUCCGAACUCCUCACCGCUGCUGCCGUGGCCGAACCGGCGCUGCCUCUUUCUACCACGGCCUGCUCACCUUCGCCGCCCUUGUGGCCUUGCUUCAAGCGCCUACUGCCUCCGUGGCUGAGACGAGGAACUUUUGCCACUUUGACCUUCCCGCGCCGACGCGGGUUUUCCCCCCAAGUCGUCGUGAUGAGAGCCACAUCCUUCACCGGCCUCACCUUCACCGCCGUGCCAUUGAGCAUCUGCGCCGAGUCGCUGUGUUCGCCUCGAAUCGCCGGGUCCCGCUGGUUUGA
rnacentral:rRNA from 1 species